rnacentral:lncRNA from 1 species
GAAAUUUUACUUUUAAAGGAAAAUAACAGCGUAAUAGGAACCACAUUGAAGUCAGCACAACCAAUAUAUGGGGAAAAGGUGACCAUCGCUGUCUACACAUAUAGGCAGGUCAUUCAGGGUAGUUCAAAAAUUCCAUUUUCCAUAGUGGUCUGUGUGUGUCCACGUGGUAAUAAAUGGCCCAAGCAUGGCUUCUGAGGUGUUGGCACGACCAGUGAGUGCCAGAUGGAAUGUGGUGAAAGUUCUGAUUUGUACCUUUCAGACCAGAGGUACUUGCCAAAAUGGAUGGGUCCUCCUGGCCACCUUUUGUAAGUAUAGCCACAGGUAUUCGGUUGAAACCUGUGGGUGAGAAAGACAUAAACAGGUGCCGUAAAUUUGUCAGACCAGGAAGCCACAGACCAUUUAGUAAAUGGUAAACCCAGUGGCCCAAAAGAACAAAGGAGUCUCUUUUCAUCAGAAUGAUCAGGCUCAUUCAACAAAUAUUUAUUGAGUAUCUACUCUCUGCCAGACAUAAUAGAGACGGACAAGUUCUCUUAUUUAAAGAGUACCUGAAGUGAGGGAACAAAACCCCAAAUCACCUGGGAUGGUGUGGGCCUAACUGCACUGCAACCUGAUGGAAAGGAAGAGCCAGGGUCCUGGACCUACAACCUGACUGCUGUGGCACCCAUUCUGCCCACCAGUUCUUGAGGGUACAGCUUUUCAGGUCUGCCAGAUCAUCCGUUUGCCAUAAUUUUGACUACUCUCCUGUUGGCCUUGAUGAUCACUGGAGUCCCAGGAGUUUCAAACCCUGCCUCAAGAAAAAUUUGGAUGUAUUAGAAAAAAAUGACAGACUUCCUUGGUUAAGUUUAUCCCCUUCAGAAUGCCAACAAGUGCUGAGAAUGCACACAAGAGCUCUCAACCAUUUCAUGCUCUCCUAUACACCAAAAGCCCAAGAUAAAAAACAGAAAUCACUGGUAAGUUGUCCUUGGGUGCCAGCCAGUUAACACAACAAGAGUAC